rnacentral:rRNA from 1 species
ACGAACGCUGGCGGCGUGCCUAAUACAUGCAAGUCGAGCGGACUGAUUAAGAGCUUGCUCUUAUGACGUUAGCGGCGGACGGGUGAGUAACACGUGGGCAACCUGCCCUGUAGAUCGGGAUAACACCGAGAAAUCGGUGCUAAUACCGGGUAAUAUCUGAGAUCACAUGAUCUUAGGUUAAAAGAUGGCUCCGGCUAUCACUACAGGAUGGGCCCGCGGCGCAUUAGCUAGUUGGUAAGGUAAUGGCUUACCAAGGCGACGAUGCGUAGCCGACCUGAGAGGGUGAUCGGCCACACUGGGACUGAGACACGGCCCAGACUCCUACGGGAGGCAGCAGUAGGGAAUCUCCCGCAAUGGACGAAAGUCUGACGGAGCAACGCCGCGUGAGUGAUGAAGGGUUUCGGCGCGUAAAGCUCUGUUGUUAGGGAAGAAACAGUACCGAACGAACUAGGUCGGUACCUUGACGGUACCUAACCAGAAAGCCACGGCUAACUACGUG